rfam:Medicago truncatula strain A17 chromosome 7, whole genome shotgun sequence.
CCCAUAAGUAAUAAAAAGUCCGUUUAAGUCCCUUAACUUUAUUUAAAGUGUCGGUUUGGUCCUUUCUAUUAAUUUAAUUAAAAAAAUGUUAAGUUUAGGGACCAAACUAAUACUAAUUAAAUAAGUUAAGAAACCAAAAUUUAACGUUUUUUAAAUUAAAUUAAUAGAAGGGACCAAACCAUUACUUUAAAUAAAGUUAAGGGACUAAAUCGGACAUUUUAUUACUUAAAGGA